UCCCUGAUGGUUCAGUGGUUAAGAAUCUGCCUUGCAAAGGCAGGGAUGCAGGAUUGAUCCCUGGUUGGGGAG
rnacentral:tRNA from 1 species